rnacentral:rRNA from 1 species
UACGUAGGGACCAAGCGUUGUUCGGAUUUACUGGGCGUAAAGGGCGCGUAGGCGGCAUGACAAGUCACUUGUGAAAUCUCCGGGCUUAACUCGGAACGGCCAAGUGAAACUGUCAAGCUAGAGUGCGGAAGGGGCAAUCGGAAUUCUUGGUGUAGCGGUGAAAUGCGUAGAUAUCAAGAGGAACACCUGAGGUGAAGACGGGUUGCUGGGCCGACACUGACGCUGAUGCGCGAAAGCCAGGGGAGCAAACAGG